GCCGAAAGGCUUGGUUCACGGAAAGUGUCACAGAAAAUAGACCGCCCUGCCGCCGGGACUUUCGGAAACGUAAGUCCCAACGAAAGGGUAAGGGUGAAAAGGCGGGGUAAGAGCCCACCGCCCGUCAGGCAACUGGCGGGGCACGAAAAACCCCGUGUGGUGCAAGACAAAACAGGGAACGCGCGGCGCUUGGCCCGUUUAGCGGAGGCAACGUCGGGCUUGCGAAAGUUCGCCCGACGCACCGAGGCAUAAACCGUUUCCGGGUAUUAGUCGCACUCCGCUUCGGCGGAGCGUCCCAUUUCGAUGGGAUGAGAGAAAUGACUGUCACGGAAGGCUUUUCGGAGUCUCCCGACAGAAUUCGGCUUACCGUCACCCGCUGCAG
rnacentral:RNase_P_RNA from 1 species